rnacentral:rRNA from 1 species
CCUACGGGUGGCAGCAGUGAGGAAUAUUGGUCAAUGGACGCAAGUCUGAACCAGCCAAGUAGCGUGCAGGAUGACGGCCCUCCGGGUUGUAAACUGCUUUUAGUUGGGAAUAAAAGGGGGCUCGUGAGCCCCGUAUUGUAUGUACCAUCAGAAAAAGGACCGGCUACUUCCGUGCCAGCAGCCGCGGUAAUACGGAAGGUCCGGGCGUGUUCCGGCUUUAUUGGGUUUAAAGGUAGCGUAGGCCGGCUUUUAAGUCAGCUGGGAAAGUCCGGGGCUCAACCGUCGAAUUGCAGUUGAAACUGGAGGCCUUGAGUGCACACAGGGAUGCCGGAAUUCAUGGUGUAGCGGUGAAAUGCUUAGAUAUCAUGAAGAACUCCGAUCGCGAAGGCAGGUGUCCGGGGUGCAACUGACGCUGAGGCACGAAAGUGUGGGUAUCAAACAGGAUUAGAUACCCCAGUAGUC